rnacentral:rRNA from 1 species
AUUGAACGCUGGCGGCAGGCCUAACACAUGCAAGUCGGGCGAGCGCCGGACGGGUGAGGCAUGUAUGGGGAUCUGCCUGAUGGAGGGGGAUAACUACUGGAAACGGUACAUAUUACCUCAUAACCUGAGAUGAACCCCUAUGGGAUGCGCGUGUAGGUUAGGUAACGGCUCACCUAGGCGACGCUCCCUAGCUGGUCUGAGAGGAUGAUCAGCCACACUGGGACUGAGACACUGCCCAGACUCCUACGGUAGGCAGCAGUGGGGAAUAUUGCGCAAUGGGCGAAAGCCUGAUGCAGCCAUGCCGCAUGUAUGAAGAAGGCCUUCGGGUUGUAAAGUACUUUCAGUCAGGAGGCGUUACCGACAGAAGAAGCACCGGCUAACUCCGUGCCAGCCGCCGCGGUAAUAC